rnacentral:rRNA from 1 species
GGUUCAUUCAAAUUUCUGCCCUAUCAACUUUCGAUGGUAGGAUAGUGGCCUACCAUGGUAUCAACGGGUAACGGGGAAUUAGGGUUCUAUUCCGGAGAGGGAGCCUGAGAAACGGUACCACAUCCAAGGAAGGCAGCAGGCGCGCAAAUUACCCAAUCCCGACCGGGGAGGUAGUGACAAUAAAUACUGAUACAGGGCUCUUUUGGGUCUUGUAAUUGGAAUGAGUACAAUUUAAAUCCCUUAACGAGGAACAAUUGGAGGGCAAGUCUGGUGCCAGCAGCCGCGGUAAUUCCAGCUCCACUAGCGUAUAUUAAAGUUGUGCAGUUAAAAAGCUCGUAGUUG